rnacentral:rRNA from 1 species
GAUGAACGCUGGCGGCGUGCCUAAUACAUGCAAGUCGAGCGAACAGACGAGGAGCUUGCUCCUCUGACGUUAGCGGCGGACGGGUGAGUAACACGUGGAUAACCUACCUAUAAGACUGGGAUAACUUCGGGAAACCGGAGCUAAUACCGGAUAAUAUAUUGAACCGCAUGGUUCAAUAGUGAAAGACGGUUUUGCUGUCACUUAUAGAUGGAUCCGCGCCGCAUUAGCUAGUUGGUAAGGUAACGGCUUACCAAGGCGACGAUGCGUAGCCGACCUGAGAGGGGGAUUGGCCAAACUGGAACCGAGACACGGUUCAGACUCCUACGGGAGGCAGCAGUAGGGAAUCUUCCGCAAUGGGCGAAAGCCUGACGGAGCAACGCCGCGUGAGUGAUGAAGGUCUUCGGAUCGUAAAACUCUGUUAUUAGGGAAGAACAAAUGUGUAAGUAACUAUGCACGUCUUGACGGUACCUAAUCAGAAAGCCACGGCUAACUACGUG